GGACAGGUGUCCGAGUGGCUGAAGGAACCGGUCUCGAAAACCGGCAUACCCGCAAGGGUAUCGUGGGUUCGAAUCCCACCCUGUCCG
rnacentral:tRNA from 1 species